CGCCGGUAAGGAACUUCUCGGAGCCUCAAUAAACAGCGCUCCCAAAGCAAGGUGUCAAAUAGGAAUCGCAAAUCACAGCAUUUGGGUAAUGCUGGGGAGACGGCUAUCGCUAUUUGUGCGCACACUGAGGAUUUUUGAAGCAUGUGAAACUGUAGCAACUCCAAUGCAUACUUAUUCAGCAACUAUCCGACUGAUGGCAGCCAAACUUAUCUGGUGCUUUGCAGCUAUGGGCUCGCGCUGCAGAUGGACUGCUGCGCCUUUUCAAAUAGCCAAUCAAUAUCGCUGGUCAAGGAGUAUCUGGCCAAGCUGCAAGAAAUCGCCAAGUCUUGAGGCGCUCGAGUACUGCUUGCAGCGGAAACAUUGAACUGAGUCUCUUAAAAAUCGUCGGCUUCGGGUAAAAGGGGUCUGACCCAAUGAUUCUCGCCAACAAAAAUGAAGUUAAGCUGUGUACUUCAGAUUGAUAUGAGCAUUUCUACAGCGGCGAUUUCAGCAACAAACUGAUCAACUGCGCUGUUUAUGGAUGAUCCCUGUCCCGCUUCGCGCUCAUUACUAUUGACAAGCAACAGCUGCUAUCCCUUGUUGGUGUCGUUGAAUCCGACGAUGGUUCUGAUGAAAGCCUUUGGCUCAUGUCCAACAUGUACAUAAAUGACAUUUCCAGCAAUGCUUGGUCUUAUAUGCCUAAUCUGAAAACUCAAGAAGCAUAUAGGCCUCGUCGUCUAGCUCAAUAUCUCUGCCGUAAAUGCUAAAAAAAAAGAAUAUAAAUUCGUGAAAAUGAAUUCAUGGUUUUGUUCUAUAAAAGGUGUGUUUGGCUUAAGGAUUCCUCUGCUGUGGAUAAGUCUGACGCAAUUUUCAACAAAUUUCACAACUUAUUUUGAAAAUUGAUCUCUGCGCAAUGAAGAAGUUC